rnacentral:lncRNA from 1 species
CCGGUGGGCCGUGGCAAUUAAAAGUUGUAUAGGUGCAACCACAAUAUCUACUCUCUCGUCAAAGAAAAUUUUGCAAGUACAAAAGAUGUUUAGUGCCAGUGGCAAUUAAAUUUGUAUUAAGGUUGGGGCGUAGAUGGAUGGGGUUAGAUUGGCUUUUAUUAAAAUUAAACUAAAUUAACUAUAUUAGUUUGAAUUGGUUCGAUUUUGUUAGAUUUUUAAAUUAUUUCUUACAUGAAUAUUAUUUCAAUCUUACUUUAUUAAAGUUAUAAAUAUAAUUUUGAUAAGUAAAUAUAUGUUACAUAAAUAUAAAAAAAAUUGACAAACACAUUGAUCUAUUAAAAUAUUCUAAUGGGAGAAUUGUUUUAGUAACAUAUGAUAGUUAUUUUCUUAGUCGUCUAACAAAAAUUUUUCGUUAAUGUAUGCUUUCAAGAUUAACACAUAAUAGGAUCCCAAACAUUUCUAUAUUAUUAAAGAAAAUUUAAUAUAAAGUCUUAAGAAUAUAUAUAUAUAUAUAUAUAUAUAUAUAUAUGU